UACGUAGGUGGCAAGCGUUGUCCGGAAUUACUGGGUGUAAAGGGAGCGCAGGCGGGAAGCCAAGUCAGCUGUGAAAACUACGGGCUUAACUUGUAGACUGCAGUUGAAACUGGUUUUCUUGAGUGAAGUAGAGGUUGGCGGAAUUCCGAGUGUAGCGGUGAAAUGCGUAGAUAUUCGGAGGAACACCGGUGGCGAGGGCGGCCUGCUGGACGAUAACUGACGUUGAGGCUCGAAAGCGUGGGGAGCAAACAGG
rnacentral:rRNA from 1 species